rnacentral:rRNA from 1 species
UACGUAGGGGGCAAGCGUUGUCCGGAUUAUUGGGCGUAAAGAGCGUGUAGGCGGCCAGGUAGGUGGGUUGUGAAAACUGGAGGCUCAACCUUCAGACGUCGACCCAAACCCCCUGGCUAGAGUCCGGAAGAGGAGAGUGGAAUUCCUGGUGUAGCGGUGAAAUGCGCAGAUAUCAGGAAGAACACCCGUGGCGAAGGCGGCUCUGUC